rnacentral:misc_RNA from 1 species
GUGAAUCAUCAAAUUUUUGAACGCAUAUUGCACUCUCUGGUAUUCCGGUGAGUAUGUCUGUUUGAGGGUAAUUAAAAAGAAUCUUUAACCAAUUUUUUUUGGUCAAAGGAAAUGAGCUCUCCGCGUUUAUAGCGGUAGCUUGAAAUAUAUGGUCAAUUUUCAUUUUAGUCGAGUCGCGUAAUAAUAUUAUUUAGCGUUUUUUUUAUUAUGUGACUAUAUUGUUUUACUGCAUAUAAAUUU